rnacentral:rRNA from 2 species
CCUACGGGGGGCUGCAGUGGGGAAUUUUGGACAAUGGGCGCAAGCCUGAUCCAGCAAUGCCGCGUGCAGGAUGAAGGCCUUCGGGUUGUAAACUGCUUUUGUACGGAACGAAACGGCUCUUUCUAAUAAAGAGGGCUAAUGACGGUACCGUAAGAAUAAGCACCGGCUAACUACGUGCCAGCAGCCGCGGUAAUACGUAGGGUGCGAGCGUUAAUCGGAAUUACUGGGCGUAAAGCGUGCGCAGGCGGUUAUAUAAGACAGAUGUGAAAUCCCCGGGCUCAACCUGGGACCUGCAUUUGUGACUGUAUAGCUAGAGUACGGUAGAGGGGGAUGGAAUUCCGCGUGUAGCAGUGAAAUGCGUAGAUAUGCGGAGGAACACCGAUGGCGAAGGCAAUCCCCUGGACCUGUACUGACGCUCAUGCACGAAAGCGUGGGGAGCAAACAGGAUUAGAUACCCCAGUAGUC